GGAGAGAAUCUUUGUCAAUGGGCGCAAGCCUGAACGAGCGACGCCGCGUGUGGGAUGAAGGCCUUUGGGUUGUAAACCACUGUCAGGGGGUACGAAUAAGCGUGUAACCCACGCGAUGACUUAAACCCCAGAGGAAGUGACGGCCAACUACGUGCCAGCAGCUGCGGUAAUACGUAGGUCACGAACGUUAUUCGGAAUCACUGGGCUUAAAGGGCGCGUAGGCGGCUUAACAAGUCAUAGCUGAAAUCCG
rnacentral:rRNA from 1 species